AGUGAACGCUGGCGGUAGGCCUAACACAUGCAAGUCGAACGGCAGCACAGUAAGAGCUUGCUCUUAGGGGUGGCGAGUGGCGGACGGGUGAGGAAUACAUCGGAAUCUACUUUUUCGUGGGGGAUAACGUAGGGAAACUUACGCUAAUACCGCAUACGACCUACGGGUGAAAGCAGGGGAUCUUCGGACCUUGCGCGAUUGAAUGAGCCGAUGUCGGAUUAGCUAGUUGGCGGGGUAAAGGCCCACCAAGGCGACGAUCCGUAGCUGGUCUGAGAGGAUGAUCAGCCACACUGGAACUGAGACACGGUCCAGACUCCUACGGGAGGCAGCAGUGGGGAAUAUUGGACAAUGGGCGCAAGCCUGAUCCAGCCAUACCGCGUGGGUGAAGAAGGCCUUCGGGUUGUAAAGCCCUUUUGUUGGGAAAGAAAAGCAGCAGGUUAAUACCCCGCUGUUCUGACGGUACCCAAAGAAUAAGCACCGGCUAACUUCGUG
rnacentral:rRNA from 1 species